rnacentral:rRNA from 1 species
UGCGUAGGAAUCUACCCAGUAGUGGGGAACAACAGUCGGAAACGACUGCUAAUACCGCAUACGCCCUAUGGGGGAAAGCGGGGAAUCUUCGGACCUCGCGCUAUUGGAUGAGCCUGCGUAAGAUUAGCUUGUUGGUGAGGUAAAAGCUCACCAAGGCGACGAUCUUUAGCUGGUCUGAGAGGAUGAUCAGCCACACUGGGACUGAGACACGGCCCAGACUCCUACGGGAGGCAGCAGUGGGGAAUAUUGCGCAAUGGGGGAAACCCUGACGCAGCCACGCCGCGUGAGCGAUGAAGGUCC